rnacentral:rRNA from 1 species
AUCCGGCAGACAGACGGCGGGUGCUAAGGUCCGUCGUCAAAAGGGAAACAGCCCUAACCUACAGCUAAGGUCCCCAAGUCAUCACUAAGUGGGAAAGCAUGUGGGAAUCCCAAAACAACCAGGAGGUUGGCUUAGAAGCAGCCAUCCUUUAAAGAAAGCGUAACAGCUCACUGGUCUAAAUAAGGGUUCCUGCGGCGAAAAUGUAACGGGGCUAAAGUGAUGCACCGAAGCUUAGGGUGUGUAGCAAUACACGCGGUAGCGGAGCGUUCCGUAGGCUGAUGAAGCGAUCUGGUAAUGGGUCGUGGAGGUAUCGGAAGUGCGAAUGCUGACAUGAGUAGCGAUAAAGAGGGUGAGAUGCCCUCUCGCCGAAAUCCCAAGGGUUCCUGCUUAAAGCUAAUCUGAGCAGGGUAAGCCGGCCCCUAAGACGAGCCCGAAGGGGGUAGUCGAUGGGAACCACGUUAAUAUUCGUGGGCCUGGAGGUGUGUGACGGAUCUCGUAAAUUGUCUGACCUUAUUGGAUUGGUCAGGCUUUGAAGAGGUUCCAGGAAAUAGCCCCUCCAUUAUAGACCGUACCCUAAACCGACACAGGUGGGAUGGUAGAGUAUACCAAGGCGCUUGAGAGAAGUCUCCUGAAGGAACUCGGCAAAUUGCCUCCGUACCUUCGGAAGAAGGAGGCCCCACAUUUGGGCAACCAUUUGUGGGGGGCACAGGCCAGGGGGUAGCGACUGUUUAGCAAAAACACAGGGCUCUGCUAAGUCGGCUUCAAGACGACGUAUAGGGCCUGACGCCUGCCCGGUGCCUGAAGGUUAAGUGGAGGGGUGCAAGCUCCGAAAUGAAGCCCAGGUAAACGGCGGCCGUAACUAUAACGGUCCUAAGGUAGCGAAAUUCCUUGUCGGGUAAGUUCCGACCUGCACGAAUGGCGUAACGACUUCCCCACUGUCUCCAGGAUAUGCUCAGCGAAAUUGAAUUCUCCGUGAAGAUGCGGAGUACCCGCGGUUAGACGGAAAGACCCCGUGCACCUUUACUGCAGCUUCAGAGUGGCAUUAGGAAAGAACUGUGUAGCAUAGGUGGGAGGCUUUGAAGCACUGGCGCCAGCCGGUGUGGAGCCAUAGGUGAAAUACCACCCUGUUGUUUUCUGAUGUCUAACCUCGAUCCAUGAAACUGGAUCAGGGACCCUCUGUGGCGGGUAGUUUGACUGGGGCGGUCGCCUCCUAAAGAGUAACGGAGGCGCGCGAUGGU